GAUGAACGCUGGCGGCGUGCCUAAUACAUGCAAGUCGAGCGAACAGACGAGGAGCUUGCUCCUCUGACGUUAGCGGCGGACGGGUGAGUAACACGUGGAUAACCUACAUAUAAGACUGGGAUAACUUCGGGAAACCGGAGCUAAUACCGGAUAAUAUAUUGAACCGCAUGGUUCAAUAGUGAAAGACGGUUUUGCUGUCACUUAUAGAUGGAUCCGCGCCGCAUUAGCUAGUUGGUAAGGUAACGGCUUACCAAGGCAACGAUGCGUAGCCGACCUGAGAGGGUGAUCGGCCACACUGGAACUGAGACACGGUCCAGACUCCUACGGGAGGCAGCAGUAGGGAAUCUUCCGCAAAGGGCGAAAGCUUGACGGAGCAACGCCGCUUGAGUGAUGAAGGUCUUCGGAUCGUAAAACUCUGUUAUUAGGGAAGAACAAAUGUGUAAGUAACUAUGCACGUCUUGACGGUACCUAAUCAGAAAGCCACGGCUAACUACGUG
rnacentral:rRNA from 1 species